rnacentral:rRNA from 1 species
AGAGUUUGAUCCUGGCUCAGAUUGAACGCUGGCGGCAGGCUUAACACAUGCAAGUCGAGUGGAGAUGAGGUGCCUGUACCUUAUCUUAGCGGCGGACGGGCGAGUAAUGCUUAGGAAUCUGCCUAUUAGUGGGGGACAACAUUCCGAAAGGAAUGCUAAUACCGCAUACGUCCUACGGGAGAAAGCAGGGGAUCUUCGGACCUUGCGCUAAUAGAUGAGCCUAAGUCGGAUUAGCUAGUUGGUGGGGUAAAGGCCUACCAAGGCGACGAUCUGUAGCGGGUCUGAGAGGAUGAUCCGCCACACUGGGACUGAGACACGGCCCAGACUCCUACGGGAGGCAGCAGUGGGGAAUAUUGGACAAUGGGGGGAACCCUGAUCCAGCCAUGGCCGCGUGUGUGGAGAAGGCCUUAUGGUUGUAAAGCACUUUAAGCGAGGAGGAGGCUACUGAGACUAAUACUCUUGGAUAGUGGACGUUACUCGCAGAAUAAGCACCGGCUAACUCUGUGCCAGCAGCCGCGGUAAUACAGAGGGUGCGAGCGUUAAUCGGAUUUACUGGGCGUAAAGCGUGCGUAGGCGGCUUUUUAAGUCGGAUGUGAAAUCCCCGAGCUUAACUUGGGAAUUGCAUUCGAUACUGGGAAGCUAGAGUAUGGGAGAGGAUGGUAGAAUUCCAGGUGUAGCGGUGAAAUGCGUAGAGAUCUGGAGGAAUACCGAUGGCGAAGGCAGCCAUCUGGCCUAAUACUGACGCUGAGGUACGAAAGCAUGGGGAGCAAACAGGAUUAGAUACC